AUGAAUUAUUCACUUGCUGUUGAGCCAUUUGAUGUUUGGGGAUUUGAUUACAUGGGACCUUUUCCUUCCUCUAAUGGGUAUACACAUAUUUUGGUUGUUGUUGAUUAUGUUACAAAAUGGGUAGAAGCUAUUCCAACCAGUAGUGCUGAUCACAACAGCUCUAUUAAAAUGGUCAAGGAAGUUAUUUUCCCAAGGUUUGGAGUCCCUGGAUAUUUAAUGACUGAUGGUGGUUCACAUUUUAUUCAUGGUGCUUUCUGUAAAAUGCUUGCCAAGUAUGAUGUCAACCAGAGAAUUGCAUCACCUUAUCAUCCUCAGUCUGGUGGUGAAGUUGAACUUAGCAAUAGAGAAAUAAAAUUAAUUUUGCAAAAG
rnacentral:rRNA from 1 species